GGAUAUUGAAAUUAUGAUGCCCCCAAAUCCUAAAACCUUUAAAUUUUGGAUUUGAUGCUCCACGGUACUAAACAUCCAUCAACAUACAUCUACAUUAUCAUGUUAAUAUGAAAGUAAUUACUAACUAUUACAAACAUAUUAUUACAUUCCCAAGUUCUAUGACCUUUAAAUCUUCAAUACCUGAUAAUUAACAUAAUAUAGUAAUUAUUACAGAUAGGAUUUAUAUCCUCUACUCGUUCAUCUUCCUUUUGACCUUGUCCUUACCGGAACCUUCUACACGCUCAGUUUUUGCUGAAAACAUUUAAUUCAAAGUAAGAAUAAGUAUUUACAUGCCCAUCAAAUAUAACAGUUGCAUAUAAAACAAUAAAAUCAAAAAUCAUGCUUUCAUACUUCUAAACCUUCAGCAACUGAACAAAAGUUGUGAUUAAAUCUCGAAUAACAUGAAAUUACGCCCUCUGUGUAAAACAUAUUUUUGAAAUGACAUACUGACUUUUGCUAAGUGUUCAUAAGACCAAGAACUUUCAUUUUCAUUUAAAAUGGUUUGAACAACUAUUCCACUAUAAACCGUCAUAGCUUAUGAACACGUUAGGUGAUCAACCCUUUGCACCCUGUAUUGAUCAUUACUACCUAAUUGAAUGACUGAAUUUGCAUUCAUUCUGUCACCCGACAUCAUAUACCGAUAAUAUUAAAAUAUUUCCCCAAUAUUAAAGUUGUUCAUUCUCAGACUGAAUCCACACAAGUCAAAUUAGUUUUGAAGCACUAUUUAAUCUCAAUAACAUUUCAGAGGACUGUAUUCAAAUUAAUAAAAAGUUUUAACAUGUGUCUAACCGAUACAAUUGACAUUGACAUAACUCUUAAACAGUUCAUACACAUCAAAACUUGAAAGAUUGAAAAAUUCAUGCAUUAUAACAAAGCUUGAACGAUUUAUGCACUGAACACUUAUACAACCAACAUAAAGUUUGUAUAAGUCUGGAGUUUGCACAACUGAUAAACAUUGUGUAAGCCGAAACAUACGUACAGAUUAUUCAUAGAAAUAUAUAUCUAAAUUAAAUUCUUAAAACUGACAUUCACAACAAAAGUUAAAUAAAGUUAGAAUACUUACCUUAACGGUCUUUAAAACUUUGACGUUAAUCGCCCUUUGAAAGUCCUACACAUUUAGCGUGUGACUCCCUCAAAUCCAGGUACUUUUACCCUUGAAUUCGGUGCUCAUGAUUAAACAUACAAACAUCUUUUCUACCUAUCACAAAGGAUAACAUGUCAUAAUUAUAAAAGCCCGUACAAAAUAUUAUGUACAUCAUUGCAUCCUAGGUUGUCUAACCUUUACUAUUACAUCACAAUUAAAACAAAUAUUUACAUCAUUUACUUGUAUACAUCACAAAAGAGAUAAAUUAACUAUUGAGUUUACUCCUGCAUUUUUUCUUUCCCUUUAUCUACCGAUGCAUCUUUCGAUUUCUCGGUCUUAGCUGCAAUGAGUUAAGCAAGGAUGAAUAAUCUAAUUUCCCAGCAAAUAUAAUAACUUAUAACAAGAGGUUUAUUAAAACAAAUGGUUGAUUACUCCAUAAUAGGCUGAGAGAAUCUUUACCAAUCAACAGAUAUAUUAAAACUGUGAAUUCAUUAAGAAUAUUAAACUCUCAAGUUAACGAUAAUAAUUAAAUUGAGAUGUGUAAUAUAUGAGGGUCACAAGACCAUGAACUAUGUUCCAGUUAUUUGGUAUUUCUAUCGUAACCUUUAUCAGUCAAAGAUUGUGGACAGACCAUCAACGUACGCCAGGGUGAUCAACCCUUUGUACCUAUGUAUUGUGCACAAACAUAUUAAUGCAAUAGCGUAAUUCAGAACUAUAGUCUCCGAUAACAUAUAAUAGGGUUGUUCAUCUCAGUUUAAUCACGUGAAUCCGCACCAAAGGCAAUUUGGUUUGGUUUAUCUUUUCAAUAUAACUUUGAAAUUUUAGACAUACAUCGGCUAUGGUCUAGACGAAGUCAAAGGGCAUAGACUUUUCGAUAUCAAUCCACAUAUUCAAAAGGAUUAAAAUAAUAUCAUAUAAGUUUGAAUAAGAGGAUUCAUAAUCACAUUGCCAACUCUUGAACAUGAACAUGUAUAGCAAGUUAAUGAAUUUUUAUAGAAUACAAGAUUUAUAGUACGAUUUCAAUCUAAAAAGAGUUAGAAUACUUGCUAUUGAAUAAAAAUUCACAAUAGAAUUUUAAUUAUGAAAGAAAGUUAAAAUACUUGCAAUAGAACUUCCUAUUGAGUAAAACAUUGCAAUAGGAUAUCAUGAAGAAAGUUAAAAUAUUUUCCUUCGCGAUUUAAUGCUAUCGUAUCAAUACGUUUUCGCGUACUCAAAGCGUUGAUAUAUUGCAUAGCACCUACGUAACACACAUAAGGUUAUUACAUAGCUUGUUGAUAUAUUCAAAUUCCACGAACUUCAAAUUAAAUUCGUAUUUAAUAAGCUUAAUAUCUCAAUCUUAAUUUUAUCCAUUAUAUUAUAUUUAUCAAUAAUAUUAUAAUUUAAAUACAUAUAUAAAAUAUUAAUUUUUAUUAAUUUUAAUAAUUCAUUUGCAUCACGUCAAAAUUGGAUUGAAAAUGAACUCAGAGUCGCAAUUGGAACCAAAAAUGAAGCGCCGCGUGCAGCCUGGCAGCCACAGCACGUGCAGCUGCUGCUGUCCCUGCCCAUUCUGCAGUUUUGAUUUUUUUUCCUCACCUACUUUGCAAUUUUUUAACUUGAGAUCCAUACAUCCGAUUGAGUCCCAUUUUUAAUAUAUUAUAGAUGGCACUUCAUAGUAUUUUAUAAAAAUAUAACACAGCCAAAAAGAGGAUUUAAACCAUAAUUACAGGGGCUUGAAAAUGUCCGUCACCACAUAUUUCAUUGAAUCCAAUUUGAUUCAAACUUCAUAAAAUUAAUUUUAAACUCCGUUUGAUUUACCUAACCAACUUGGGUUACAUCAUUACAAAUAUAUAAAUGUUACCUAGUCUUAAUCAUUGAGUAAUUUUCAAUUUCUACACAUGUUGACCUCUUUGGGACAAAUUUUUAAACACCCUAAGGGCAUAGCUUAUAAUUUCAGAAUUCAUAGAGGUUUAGGCAUGGUUCUAGCCAAAAAAAUUUAUAGAAGUCCUUUAUUACUCCAUAUAGCAUAUACUCCCAUCACAAAACAUAGUUUCCCGACCAAGCACAUCAAUUUCAGAAUAACAAACAUUAUGUAAACUUUCAAUUUCCAUAAAAUUAACCAAAUGCAUGGCUUACCUUACAAAAGAUUAGUUUGAUGAAGUCUUAGCUUGAUAACCAGUUUAUGAAAUCUUUCUUUACUGCGGCUGAUCUUAAUCCCUUCCCACAUUAGCUUGCAACUUCAAUUCUUUAAUGCCUUCAUUAGUUCCAACCGAAAUUAAGAGGAUUUUGAUGAAGGUUUAGGAGUUAUGGAAACUUGACAAUUAAAUAAAGAAGAAGGGAUGGAACAGUGGAGACUACCUAUUAAGGUUGAGAAGGUUUUUG
rnacentral:lncRNA from 1 species